CCGUUAUUACUUAUAAGAGUCAAGCAGCCCGCUAGAGGCCAGUUAACUCAGACCAUCCAAUUGUCUCCUGUUCGGAAGCCAUCUUGGUGAAGUCAUUUCGCUCCGUUUCAAUAAACAAAUGGUCUCUGGAAAGAUGGCCUCCGCUCGUAGUGUUUGCUUACUGAACUAGCGACAUUUCCAGUAAUGUUUUACUAGCAGCAAUGAUAUAACACUGUACUGUCCGCUUCAAUUGUUUUCCCCCUGUUGAUGUUUUGCAGCCUAGUGACCGGGUAACAGCCAUAGAGGAACAACGCUCUCCUGACUGGUUGGUGAGGGAUGGGGGAAGAAGCCUCUGAUAUCAGCCUGGAUUCAAUGGCGAGCACUACUGCUAGUGAUGUCCUCAUCCGCUCUACCAGUGUCCAUGUGAGAAAGGGGGACAGCAGACCCUCCACUGCUAAUGAGAGAAUGGCCACAGGUGACAGCAGUCCCCUGCACACAGCUGAUACUGGCUGCCAUUAUCCUGGGGCUUCCACACUGGGGCACAGACAGGUGGCAUCCAUUGAUGGCAGUGGGUGCGGGGACAGAGAUGGAAGGAAGGUGCACAUCUCGGUGAAGAGGCUGCGGGAGGUGCCCACUCCUGUCCUGCCAGACUUUGCCUUUAAGAAGCGAGACCCUUCCUACAUCCCCCCGGCUCUACCUGCAAAUAAGUAUCCUGAGGUCACCCUCUCCAUAGUGGAUGAUGCAAGAAAUGGAUCCACAUUACAGAACAUGGAUUCACCAUCACAAAGGGUUCUUGUGACAAAACAUUUUCAGAACAUGGGAGAAGAAAAAAUAGUCAUGAAGAAACCACUAGAUGGCAGCAUACAGAAAAACAAGGACGUUCAGAUUUCACAGUUUACUACAGGUCAGAAAGAGACUUUGUUGGUAGCAUUAAAUAAAAGAGCACAGAAUGGUUCAGGGACCAAACAAGUCCCGGUUCAGUUGCUUGAGGAUGUCCGUGGUAAAGGUAAAAAGGCUGGGACCAGUAUUGGGAAGAAUCAGGAGACCAUUGAGAUCCAGACUGCUUCCAUUGCUGCUGCCACUGCUGCUGCCAUCGCUGCUACUGCUCCUGUGCUAAAGGUUCAGAGUAAUCUGGAGGCCCAAGUGAACUCGGUGUCUCAGCUGCUUAACAAACUUCAGGAAGCUGACCGACAGCUGCAAAUACUCACAGAACAGCACAGCAAGAUCCCCAGUCAGCAGCCACUGGAAAGAUUGUAUCAGGGGAGAGUCAGCGAGCUGGAGAGCAAGCUGACCCUGCUGACAGAGCAGAGGCUCCAGCAUCUGGAAAAGCUCCAGCAGCAGCAACUGGAGAUGCAGUCACAGUUUAUAAACUCUGCUAUCAAGGUUAGUGCAAGUCACCGGGAAACUGCGGCGCCUGUUUGUUCUCAUUUUCCAGUGAGUGUUCCUCUGCCACAGACUACUGCAGCUCCAAAGAACACCGAGAAAGUUACUGCUGCAGCUGUGCAAGAAGUUAAGGAAAAUACUGGGAAAUCUCCACUGGAGACUCCAGCUCCUCGCAGAUUCGCACCAGUGCCAAUUUCUAUGGAUGUUCCAUCAAAAUCAUUGCCAGGGAAAGAAAAUGUGGAGAAACCCAAUCCAUCAACCUCUGGUAAUGUGCAUUUUUUACAUGAACUCCUAGGACGUGACAACACUCCUCUAUCAGGGUCAACAUAUAAAACACACAUUCCCUUAAACCUGACAACGACUGACAGUCGGCCCUUUGGAGACAGCUACAUCCAGAAUAAGGAAGCUUAUGGUGCUCAGAUAUCCUCCCUCACAUCUAGUACUGCAGUGAAAAAGGCCAAUGAUGUGUUGCAGGAUUUGAAUUCUUUAAAGCAAGAGAUGCAAAGUAUGAUGAAGGAUGCAAAGCAGUGGAAAUCUCAAGAAGCUGUCCUGAAGCCCAGGGAGAAGACAAUAUUACUCUCAACUUCUCUGUCUAAAUCUCCUGUCUUAUGGAGAAGAGCUGUGAAUCCCCCAAAGUCAAUGAUUGAUGACGCUGAAUGCAUCUUGAGAGAAUUGCAAAAUAAAAGGAAAGUACUUGAAGACAAUUUAGAAGCCAUUGCCCGAGCCAAUGAUGGGGCACGCAAAUACUCCCUCAUCAGUGCCCUGGCUUCAGACAGUAAUGAAGCAGAGAAAAUUCGAAUUCAGAAGACAGUAGAUGCUUGUAUUACUGAAAUCACCUCUGAAAUUAAGGAUGAAUUGGCAAAAGAAGACUUAAGAAAGAAGAAAUCAAAUGAGAGCUGUAAAGAGUCUGCAGUGAGGAGAAAUGCAGGAAGCGCUAAAGACAUAAAAGAAAAUAGAUAUCUGGACAUCAAAGCUCCAGCAAGCGGUGCAAUGAGGAGUACAAAGCCCUCAUCUGGGGUCUCAGCCAAGCCUCAGUUUAAGAAGACUGGAGAGAAGCUUGCAGGGCAGAGCAAGAGAGCCUUGCCAAAGAAUGAUGAAAGCUCAAAGGUACCUCAGAAGGUCAAUGUGUCUUCGGUGAUGGAUGAAGAAAUGCUGAAUAGAGUCUAUGGGACACCUGUCUAUCAGGGGCGCCGCAGCACUCUAAAAAAGGGUCCAUAUCUUCGGUUUGGCUCUCCCCCUGCCAAGACCAAGCCGCAGCGGCCUAAAGUCAUGGAGACUGUGAGGGGUGUCAAGCUUAAGUCUGCUAAGAUACAGACCAGUUCCCCUAAAAUGGAGAGAGGUCUUAUAAAACCCAGAUCUCCUGAAUUUUCUGUACCAAGGAAUUACACGCCUCAGUAUGUAUUUAUUCCAACAAGAGAGGCAGAUGCAUCGGACGCUCAAAUGCAGGGACACCUCAUCGAAAUGGCUAUUCCACUAGGGAGGCCUCGAUUUGAUAGGGCUGCCCCAUUACCGCACUCUGUAAUUCUUGCUGACCCUCAGCCCGUAGUGAAUGUUUCUAUUCCCCCAAUGCCACCAAAGCCUAAGGCAGAUGUUGUGAAGCCAAACAUUGCUGUAGUGGAGAUGAGGUCCGAGAAAAAGGAUCCGCCACAGCUUACUGUUCAGGUGUUACCUUGCGUUGACAUAGACAGCAUUACCAGCGACAGCCCAGGAACAACGCAUAGGACCCCAAGUCCACAUCCAACUCAUAGGACCCCAAGUCCGGAUAUACCACCCUGUACACCCAGUCCUGUUAAAACUGAUAUACAGAUGCCAGAAAGUGUCGAAACAGAAGAAGAAAUCCUAGCAUUUCCCGGCACAACCUUAGAAGAGACCGACAUCACUCCAGAUGAUCAGGUAGAAGAAGUCCCAGAGCCUUUAUUGGAGCUCAAUGGCUUUGGGGAUACAAAUCCUCCUCAGCAUGGUGGCAUACCGUUCCCUCUUCCGGCUCCUGCACUACAGACAAAUGCUGAUAUUCUUGAUGGAAUCGCUACAAGUAGAGAGACUCUGGUGAACAGAUUGGUCAGCCGGGUGGAGUUGGAAAUCUUUGACAGAAUUAUCAGUGAAAUGCAUUCAGGAAGAGAGGACGUCAUCCCUCAUGUCACCCUAUCCAGCAACGAGAACAGUGAUUCAGUGUCUACUGAGAGUGUAGAUGCAGCUGGAGGUGAAGGCUUGCAGUUUCUCUUUGAUGGUGUCCCUGUAGAAUCCAGCCUGAUUCGCCAGUAUGUUGAAGAAGCCCUGGCAAAGGCUGUUGCCAAAAUACUGGCAGAAAGAAGGACUCAACGCAUCCCACCUUCUCCACCAGCGCAGACUGUGGCUCAGCCGACACCUGUUGAGGUUACUCCAGUUCCAACACCUGAGUGCACUCCACCAUCGUCUCCUCUCCCUCCUCCAAGAGAGACGGCUAUAGUGAAAACACCUGAACUUUCUCCCCAGACUUCAUUGGAAGAACCUGAACUUCAACAAGAUGCAGGACAGAUGGUUCCAUUAACCCAGGUAGUCACCCCCACAAUGACACCAGUAGCUUCUCCUACCAGAGUGAAUACACCAACAUCUCUUAUAUCAGAAGAUAAUGUAAAACAAUCUUCCAUAAAAAGUGCUAAUGCAUGGAACAGUACAGAGCUGCCAUUGGAAGAAGAGAACCCACACUCCCUUAAAGAAGCUGUUCAAUACAAAGAUGCUGUGGUAAUGACGGUGGCUGAAGAAGAAGACCCAAAGAGCUUAAUCUCUGUUACUCCUGAGCCACAGAAACCAAUUGUUGUUUCUCCUAAACAAGAAGCGUUGUCACCUGCUCCUUCCACAUACAGCUCUUCCACCGAGGAAAGCAGCGUAACCAUCACAGAGUCAGACACCACAGACAAACCCCUCUCAGAAGGCGAGGUCCUGUACAGCUAUGGACAAAUUAUUGUUCCAAACGCCUUAGCAGCUGGUGGACUGGGCUAUCCAAACUUGACCGAAAGUUUAUCCAGCACUCUUAAGGAUGCCAAUGACAUGGAAUUUGAUCCUCCCAGUGAAGGGCAGGUAAUGGACAGGCCUUUUAGAGUAGGACAUCAAGAACCCUCCCGGUUGCUCUUGGCCAAAUUGAAUCCGGGUUCCAGAACACGGCAAGAAGUGUUCUACCAUCCUGAGAGCUCUGGGGAUGAGAACAGCAUGGGUGAAAUCAGCGAAGGUCAGAGGUUAUGUCUGACACCAGCGGCUGAACAGAUCCUGAUGGGACAUUCUGCUCUAAUAGACAGAACCGGCACCACAGGUCAAACCGCUGGACAUCUACAGAUACGUCCAUCGUCCAAUUGGCAACAAAUAAAUAUUCCAGGAGUGGGCCAGGGAGACGCCGAUAAUCUUAGUUCUGGGCCAAUGAGUCUCGGUGAUCUGGAAUCUCAGCUUUUGCCUGCUUAUUAUCCACAAGCCGAAGAUUUGCACCAAAUUCCAGCUGCGGCCAGGAACACCUCACAGGGUCCUGGAGAACCUCAAAGGGAGCACCAGCCAGCGCCUACCCGCUUCAUACAAGUUGGCGUUAAGUCAAGCGAUGAUCCACAGCAAGGAAUUCGUGAAGACUCGGACCGAACUCUUGUAGAGCCCAGUGUUUACCUCACCGAUUCAGACAUGAUGGAUUUCAGCGGCUCAAUCCUCUGAGUGAUAUGCCACCACUAUAGGAGUCCGACUGCAGUUUACUCCUCUAUUCAGAACACAUGAACACUCAAUGGAUCAGGAGAGAACGGUCAUCGCACAGCUAUCGCCUGUCUACGGCAGCUGAGCCCUUAAAAAAGAUGUCUGUGACCCUCCCAUCUAUGAUGGAAGACGACGAGGAUGUGAAAUCCCCCCUUGAGGAGUCCGAAUCUUCAGGUGCUGAUUUUUUCUGAAAAAGUAUGGCAGGACUGUGCUG